rnacentral:rRNA from 1 species
UGAACGCUGGCGGCGUGCCUAAUACAUGCAAGUCGAGCGAACAGACGAGGAGCUUGCUCCUCUGACGUUAGCGGCGGACGGGUGAGUAACACGUGGAUAACCUACCUAUAAGGCUGGGAUAACUUCGGGAAACCGGAGCUAAUACCGGAUAAUAUAUUGAACCGCAUGGUUCAAUAGUGAAAGACGGUUUUGCUGUCACUUAUAGAUGGAUCCGCGCCGCAUUAGCUAGUUGGUAAGGUAACGGCUUACCAAGGCAACGAUGCGUAGCCGACCUGAGAGGGUGAUCGGCCACACUGGAACUGAGACACGGUCCAGACUCCUACGGGAGGCAGCAGUAGGGAAUCUUCCGCAAUGGGCGAAAGCCUGACGGAGCAACGCCGCGUGAGUGAUGAAGGUCUUCGGAUCGUAAAACUCUGUUAUUAGGGAAGAACAAAUGUGUAAGUAACUAUGCACGUCUUGACGGUACCUAAUCAGAAAGCCACGGCUAACUACGUG